UACGGGGGGGGCAAGCGUUGUUCGGAAUUACUGGGCGUAAAGGGCUCGUAGGCGGCCAACUAAGUCAGACGUGAAAUCCCUCGGCUUAACCGGGGAACUGCGUCUGAUACUGGAUGGCUUGAGAUUGGGAGAGGGAUGCGGAAUUCCAGGUGUAGCGGUGAAAUGCGUAGAUAUCUGGAGGAAUACCGGUGGCGAAGGCGGCAUCCUGGACCGAGAUUGACGCUGAUGAGCGAAAGCUAGGGGAGCAAACGGG
rnacentral:rRNA from 1 species